AGGUUAAGUUAACAAGGGCGCAUGGUGAAUGCCUUGGCACUAGGAGCCGAUGAAGGACGGGACUAACACCGAUAUGCUUCGGGGAGCUGUACGUAAGCUAUGAUCCGGAGAUUUCCGAAUGGGGCAACCCAGCAGUUUUAAUCAACUGUUACCACUAGAUGAAUUCAUAGUCUAGUUGGAGGUAAACGCUGUGAACUGAAACAUCUCAUUAGCAGCAGGAAUAUAAAGAAAUUUCGAUUCCCUAAGUAGCGGCGAGCGAACGGGGAACAGCCCAAACCAAAGUGCUUGCACUUUGGGGUUGUAGGACUGAACAUUUGAGUUACCAAAGAACUUGAUAGUCGAAGGAUUUGGGAAAAUCCGCCAUAGAUGGUGAUAGCCCAGUAGAUUAAAUCAAAUUCUCUCAGUUCAGGAUCCUGAGUACGGCGGAACACGUGAAAUUCCGUCGGAAUCCGGGAGGACCAUCUCCCAAGGCUAAAUACUACCUAGUGACCGAUAGUGAACCAGUACCGUGAGGGAAAGGUGAAAAGCACCCCGGGAGGGGAGUGAAAUAGUUCCUGAAACCAUGUGCCUACAAUAAGUCAGAGCGCGUUAAUGCGUGAUGGCGUGCCUUUUGUAGAAUGAACCGGCGAGUUAUGAUCCCGUGCAAGGUUAAGACUAAAAAGUCGGAGCCGUAGCGAAAGCGAGUCUGAAAUGGGCGUUUUGAGUACGAGGUUAUAGACCCGAAACCAGGUGACCUAUCCAUGUCCAGGUUGAAGGUGCGGUAAAACGCACUGGAGGACCGAACCCGUGUAAGUUGAAAAUUGCUGGGAUGAGGUGUGGAUAGCGGUGAAAUUCCAAACGAACUUGGAGAUAGCUGGUUCUCUCCGAAAUAGCUUUAGGGCUAGCCUCGGAAUUAGGAUCAUGGAGGUAGAGCACUAUUUGGACUAGGGGCCCGUCUUGGGUUACUGAAUUCAGAUAAACUCCGAAUGCCAUUGAUUCAUAUCCGGGAGUCAGACGAUGAGUGAUAAGAUCCACCGUCGAAAGGGGAACAGCCCAGACCAUCAGUUAAGGUCCCUAAAUGUAUGCUAAGUGGAAAAGGAUGUGGAGUUGCAUAGACAACUAGGAUGUUGGCUCAGAAGCAGCCACCAUUUAAAGAGUGCGUAAUAGCUCACUAGUCGAGUGAUCCUGCGCCGAAAAUGUACCGGGGCUAAGCAUACUACCGAAACCAUGGAUGCGACCAUUAGGUCGCGUGAUAGGAGAGCGUUCUAAGGGCGGUGAAGCAAGAUCGUGAGGACUUGUGGAGCGCUUAGAAGUGAGAAUGCCGGUAUGAGUAGCGAAAGAUAGGUGAGAAUCCUAUCCACCGAAUGACUAAGGUUUCCUGGGGAAGGCUCGUCCUCCCAGGGUUAGUCGGGACCUAAGUCGAGGCCGAGAGGCGUAGACGAUGGAUAACAGGUUGAGAUUCCUGUACUAGUUAAGUGCGUUUGAGCAAUGGAGGGACGCAGGAGGCUAAGAUGUGCAUUCUGUUGGAUUAGAAUGUCCAAGCAGUAAGUCUUGUGAAGAGUCAAAUGCUUUUCACUUUAAGGACAAGCUGUGAUGGGGAGCGAAAUUUAGUAGCGAAGCGUCUGAUGUCACACUGCCGAGAAAAGCUUCUAGUGAGUACUUAACUACCCGUACCGCAAACCGACACAGGUAGUCGAGGAGAGAAUCCUAAGGUGAGCGAGUGAACUCUCGUUAAGGAACUCGGCAAAAUGACCCCGUAACUUCGGGAGAAGGGGUGCUGAUCGCAAGAUCAGCCGCAGUGAAUAGGCCCAGGCGACUGUUUAUCAAAAACACAGGUCUCUGCAAAAUCGUAAGAUGACGUAUAGGGGCUGACGCCUGCCCGGUGCUGGAAGGUUAAAAGGAUGGGUUAGCUUCGGCGAAGCUCAGAAUUGAAGCCCCAGUAAACGGCGGCCGUAACUAUAACGGUCCUAAGGUAGCGAAAUUCCUUGUCGGGUAAGUUCCGACCCGCACGAAAGGCGUAACGAUCUGGGCACUGUCUCAACGAGAGACUCGGUGAAAUUAUAUUGUCCGUGAAGAUGCGGACUACCCGCGACAGGACGGAAAGACCCCAUGGAGCUUUACUGUAGCUUGAUAUUGAGUGUUUGUACAGCUUGUACAGGAUAGGUAGGAGCCAUAGAAACCGGAACGCUAGUUUCGGUGGAGGCGUUGGUGGGAUACUACCCUCGCUGUAUGACCACUCUAACCCGCACCACUAAUCGUGGUGGGAGACAGUGUCAGGUGGGCAGUUUGACUGGGGCGGUCGCCUCCUAAAAAGUAACGGAGGCGCCCAAAGGUUCCCUCAGAAUGGUUGGAAAUCAUUCGCAGAGUGUAAAGGCACAAGGGAGCUUGACUGCGAGACAGACAGGUCGAGCAGGGACGAAAGUCGGGCUUAGUGAUCCGGUGGUACCGUAUGGAAGGGCCAUCGCUCAACGGAUAAAAGCUACCCUGGGGAUAACAGGCUUAUCUCCCCCAAGAGUCCACAUCGACGGGGAGGUUUGGCACCUCGAUGUCGGCUCAUCGCAUCCUGGGGCUGUAGUCGGUCCCAAGGGUUGGGCUGUUCGCCCAUUAAAGCGGUACGCGAGCUGGGUUCAGAACGUCGUGAGACAGUUCGGUCCCUAUCCGUCGCGGGCGUAGGAAAUUUGAGAGGACCUGUCCUUAGUACGAGAGGACCGGGAUGGACAUACCUCUGGUGUACCAGUUGUGCCGCCAGGCGCAUCGCUGGGUAGCUACGUAUGGAUGUGAUAAACGCUGAAAGCAUCUAAGUGUGAAACACACCUCGAGAUGAGAUUUCCCAUUCCUUUAUGGAAGUAAGACCCCUGAAAGAUGAUCAGGUAGAUAGGUUAGAAGUCGCAGUGCGGUGACGCAUGAAGCGGACUAAUACUAAUCGGUCGAGGACUUAACCAAG
rnacentral:rRNA from 2 species